rnacentral:rRNA from 1 species
GGCGAACGCUGGCGGCGUGCUUAACACAUGCAAGUCUAACGGGCCUUGUCCCCUUUUUUUUUGGGGGUGGGGUUAGUGGCGAACGCGUGCGUAACACGCUAGUAACCUGCCCCUCAAUUCUGGCUAACCGCCUGUAAGUGUGGCUAAUACGGGGUCUUCUGGCCUGCCGGCCUGGGUGGGUUUGGACGCUUUCGAUCUGUCUUGUUUGUUUUGUCGGGGGCUUGGCUCGCGGCCUAUCAGCCUGUUCGUGGGGUGUUGUCCUGCCAAGGCUUUGACGGGUAGCCGGCCUGAGAGGGUGGGCGGUCACACUGGGACUGAGACACGGCCCAGACUCCUACGGGAGGCAGCAGUGGGUAAUAUUGCACAAUGGGGGCAAGCCUGAUGCAGCGACGCCGCGUUAGAGAUGGAGGCCUUCGGGUUGUGAACCUCUGUCGCCAGUGAAGAAGGUCCGGCUCUUUGUGGUGGCGUUGACGGUAGCUGGGUUAAUGAAGCGCCGGCUAACUACGUG